CUUUUCUUGCAUACCAUCCUUCAUGUACGUAUCCUCAGCCCAGCAAGAGUGAAGAUUAGUAAAAUGUAUUACACAAAUAUUUAGAUACGUAAAAAUCUGAGAUACAUAUUUAUUCGUCCAGUCCAGUCAACUUUUUCCCUUCUGAUUGUUAACAUCCAAACAAAAAUUUCUUCACGUUACCAUAACAACUAAAAAUAAUUCUAAAGUCUGUUCUAAAUCUACCAUGCUGUCCAGAAGUGCAGCUAGAGAAAUACUUGUGCUCGGAUUAUUCCAUUCGACCAGCGAUUUUUAUCUUUGACAUCUAUCCUGAGCUGCAAAAUUACGCGAAAACAAUUGUCUUCUAUGGUUCCUUGAUAUUCUUCUCCUUUAUUUCCGGAUUCUGCGCAAAUUUGGCAGUCACUAGAUUCUCCAACAACAGUAAUUGGCGGCUGAUGAAAUUGGGAAAAAUGGCAUCGUCCUUGUCGCAAGCGUUAUACUGGGAAAUUCUGGCGUUCAUAUUCUACAAUGUUGAUCCGAUGAAGUUGAGGACGCCGGACGGACUUUUGGGCCCAUGGGGACCGAUUACAGUGUCCAUCCUGAUAUGUUUUUAUUGUGUAUUGAUGCAACCUUAUUUUUGGAGAAUGUGCACCUACUUGGUUAAAGUCGCUGAAGAGGAAGAUGAAGAUGAAUAUGAAGAUGAAGAUGACGAUGAAUAUGGAUAUGAAGAUGAAUAUGAAUAUGGAUAUGAACAUGAAUAUGAAUAUAAAGAGGAGGAAAUUAGGAAAAAUCUUGUAAAGAAGGCGGAUAGGAAAAGAGCGAGUAUCUGAUUACUGAAGAAAUUUGUGUAUGCAUUUUCUUGUAAUCGAGUAAAUGUUUCAGUUUGAUCGAUAUGGUUUUAUAAAAGUUAAAAGCUUAAGGAUUUAAUUAUUUAACUCGAGCGUGUUACGUAAAUAAAUAUACUUAUUAAUUUAAAAACAGUUAAUAAGUAUUCAGUGAUACUUAUCAAAAUUAUAUACAUACGGCGGAAAUAUUUUAUUACGAUGGUUCAAAAAUCUGUAUUCGUGUAUUAAGCAAUUGUUUAAUGUAAAAGUAAUGUUAUUUUAGCAUUAACUACAUGUGUUUCGUUGGUAUGAGAGUAUAAAAAUUUUAUAUGCUUCUUCAUAAGUA